CACUAGCACUACUUUGUUCAUUGC
rnacentral:siRNA from 1 species